rnacentral:rRNA from 1 species
GACGAACGCUGGCGGCGUGCCUAAUACAUGCAAGUAGAACGCUGAAGAGAGGAGCUUGCUCUUCUUGGAUGAGUUGCGAACGGGUGAGUAACGCGUAGGUAACCUGCCUGGUAGCGGGGGAUAACUAUUGGAAACGAUAGCUAAUACCGCAUAAAAUGGAUUAUCGCAUGAUAAUCCAUUGAAAGGUGCAAAUGCAUCACUACCAGAUGGACCUGCGUUGUAUUAGCUAGUUGGUGGGGUAACGGCUCACCAAGGCGACGAUACAUAGCCGACCUGAGAGGGUGAUCGGCCACACUGGGACUGAGACACGGCCCAGACUCCUACGGGAGGCAGCAGUAGGGAAUCUUAGGCAAUGGACGGAAGUCUGACCGAGCAACGCCGCGUGAGUGAAGAAGGUUUUCGGAUCGUAAAGCUCUGUUGUAAGAGAAGAACGAGUGUGAGAGUGGAAAGUUCACACUGUGACGGUAUCUUACCAGAAAGGGACGGCUAACUACGUG